rnacentral:lncRNA from 1 species
UUGAGUGAUCGAAUGCAAAUUGAUGAAUUACACUAGCAGGAACGAAAUCCAAAACAAAUUUUGAGUGAUUCAAAUCAAAUGCCUCUUAGGUAGAUAACUGGUCUAAAGAAGGACUAAAGGUAGAUAUAGGUCUCACACCCUCACAUAUCAAGAUCUCAAAUCAUUACAUGGAAGUGGGUAUGUAUUCCUUUUGGAUUGGGUUUUUGUUGGGAUCCUCAACUGAAUAUUAGACUUGGAUUUGCGUUUGAGAAUCUCACCUGAAUCUUACUUAUUGCAAUCCCUAUAGAUCUAGAACUUUUUAAAAUUGAAUUUUGUAGUAGCCUAUCAUCAUAAACAACAAAGCAACCAAACAUUCCCAAGACUGCAAGCAUGUGCACGUUGACAUUAGCUUUCGAAAAAUUGUGCCUUCAACUUCAUGAACAACUUAAUAGAUCAUGCGUGGUAAUGGCGGCGCCAUGGUUGUCUUAAAAUAGGUAUAGGUAUGUUUUUGCUUAUAAUAAAUGGCAUGAUCACCUAUCAAGGAACAUGGUCUCGAAUUGUAGUUGCUUAAGAAUUUUUUGUUGAUUAGUUGCUUUAAUUAGACCACUAGAUUAGUAAAUUACUUCAAAAAAA